rnacentral:sRNA from 1 species
GAACUCCCACUCUAACAGUCUGCGAAGAAUGCCAUUGGUUUUUCUGUCACAGCUUCCUAAUAUCCGAUAGAGUGAAGUAUACAGAGACAUUUUACUUUUCAUCUAGCCAGUAUGUCUCGAAGACCAACAGAUGUGGCGUCGAAGGAGCGCAAUGAGUACAUCCCCGCCUUUAUCUCCAAGAAGCCUUUCUACGUCGAUGAUGAGUCUUCCGCAAAUGACUACCUCGAGCAUCAGCGACUCCAGAAAUCCAAGACAGAGCAAAAAUGGUACGACAGAGGGAAGCGUGUAGGACCAGCUGCCACCAAAUAUCGCAAAGGCGCAUGCGAGAACUGCGGCUCCAUGUCUCACAAAGUUAAAGAGUGUCUGAGCAGACCAAGGAAACUUGGAGCGAAAUGGACGGGGAAAGAUAUACAACCAGACGAAGAGAUUCAAAAAGUGGACCUAGAUUGGGAUGCGAAGCGGGAUAGAUGGAACGGUUAUGAUGCUUCGGAAUAUCGGAAUGUGGUGGAGGAAUAUGAAGAGCUGGAAGCGUUGAAGAGACAAGCGAAGGAUCGCACAGAGAUGAAAGAGCUACGGACUGGCGACGAUGACGAGGAAGAUUAUGAGGGAGACGACGGUGCUGAGGAGGCUAGAUAUGCAGAGGAGUCUGAUAUGGGCCGUCAACAGAGUACCGCCACACGUAACCUACGUAUACGAGAAGACACUGCGAAAUAUCUCCUCAACUUGGAUCUUGACUCCGCUAAAUAUGACCCUAAGACCCGCAGGAUGGUGGAUAUGGGCGCACAGUCGGAUCUGGCUGCAGCUCUGGUAGCGGAAGAAAACUUCAUUCGGGCCUCAGGAGAUGCUGCUGAAUUUGAACGAGCUCAGCGAUACGCGUGGGAAUCUCAGGAGCGUGGCGAUAAAGACAGACAGCACCUUCAGGCAAAUCCUACAUCGGGCGAGUAUUUCAGAAAGAAAGAAAAGGAGCAGGCGGAAGAAAAGCGCAAGGCUCAACGAAAGGCGUUGCUAGAGAAGUAUGGUGGCGAGGAACAUCUACAGCCAGCUCCCUUGCGCGAAGCUGCAGUUAUUGAGAACGAACGAUUUGUCGAGUAUGAUGAGACAGGAACUAUUAAAGGGGGGCCCAAAAAGGUUGCGAAAUCACGGUAUGCUGAGGAUAUACUCAACAACAACCACACCACGGUAUGGGGCAGUUGGUGGUCAAACUUUGUAUGGGGUUAUGCGUGUUGCCAUUCUACAGUGAAAAACAGCUAUUGUACGGGGGAGGAAGGGAAGACUGCGUUUGAGGAGGCUCAAAAUAUGCUACUUAAUGAUAUGGAAAAGGCUGGGGAGGAAGAGGAAGUACGGGGAGAACCAGAGAAAGAUAUCUCGGAGGAAGCAUCCCUGCAGGCAAAGAAGCGGGAUAAAACCGGCCCUGAUACAAAGCUCGGGAAACGGACCCUCCAAGAGAUGCGGCAGGGGGUUACCGAGGAGGAGCUUGAAGCCUACAAGAAAUCGAGAAGUGCAGCAGCUGAUCCAAUGGCGGCGUAUCUCGGGAAGGAUGAGCUGGCUCGAUGAUAAUCUGGCGAGCGGUUUAUAAUGAUUCCGCUUAAAUGUUGAGUGUGCAAACGAAUUGCUAUAACUAGUUUUGUUUGAUCGCCAUUUUUCUUACUUGAAACAAAUGUACGAGUAUUUGUGAUAUGCUAUAGACUAGGUAUUUUAAUUAUAUCAACAUGCCAACCGGCCAGCAUGUCAACAAUCGGCCCC